ACAUACGAUCACAGAUGGUAGAAAACUCGGGAUCCCGUCCGCUCUCCCAUAGAUAAGUUACCAAUCGCCUAACUAGUAGUUGGGUCGGUGACGACCAGCGAAUCCCAGGUGUUGUAUGUU
rfam:Sordaria macrospora k-hell, WGS project CABT02000000 data, contig: 2.33